UACGGAGGGUGCAAGCGUUAUCCGGAUUCACUGGGUUUAAAGGGUGCGUAGGCGGGCAGGUAAGUCAGAGGUGAAAUCUCCGAGCUUAACUCGGAAACUGCCUUUGAUACUAUCUGUCUUGAAUAUGGUGGAGGUAAGCGGAAUAUGUCAUGUAGCGGUGAAAUGCUUAGAGAUGACAUAGAACACCCAUUGCGAAGGCAGCUUACUACGCCUAUAUUGACGCUGAGGCACGAAAGCGUGGGGAGCAAACGGG
rnacentral:rRNA from 1 species